UCAAAGAAGGUUGUCUUUGCAGUGGAUGGA
rnacentral:piRNA from 1 species